rnacentral:lncRNA from 1 species
UUAAAAGAUCCUACCUCAACCCUCUGCCGAUCCCUCCCACGCAUCCACCCUCUUUCCACCGCCGCCGCCUUGAAUAGGUCGAUGCCGGAAAAGCUGCAAAUCCAUACAUUGACAGGAUCCAUCUUCAUAUAUUUCAGAACAGUGAUACAAAUAUAGUUUUGAUAGACAUUACUUGGCUGAGACGACUCAUCCUAUAAUCUUGAGUAGUUUGAUCAAAUAAUUCAUGUGUUUAUAGUCUUCUUUCAAGAAAGUAUAUGAGAUAGAAAGAGGGAGCCGGUGAUAGAAAAGUGAACUCCGGGGAAGUUGCGUUGAUUGUAUUGGCGUGUCAACCCUAUGAAUCGAAGCUUAGAGCACGCUGAGGCUUAUGAUGAUGAUCGUUUGUCUAAUUACAAAACAGUGGUGGUUCAAUUGAAACCUCAUAUAGUCGACAACUAGGGUUCAUGACUCGAAGGUGAUGACGGAGACGAUCAGGGUUAGGUUUCAGGCGAUAGAUGGUGUCAAACAAUGGUCGUAUGGAACAUAUGGACGGUCGGCUCCGCUCAAAAUAGGGGAACGCAUUUCGGUCACCUUAUAGUUCAGAGAGUUGAAGGUACCAACGAUUAAGAAGGCGAUAUGUUUGACAUAUAGCCCACGAAAAAAAUGAUUGCUUUCUUAAUUUUCUACCCUAAUAAGUCUUGCAAGGAACAGGUUCACUAUAUAUUAGGAGAUUGGUCAAUGAAGAUGUCUUAUAUG